GGGAGUGCAUGGGGCCCGGUGGUCCCCCCGGCCUUCAAAGCCGCGUGUGUCCCGCUUAAGGGACAGGUGGGUUCGACUCCCACACACUCCC
rnacentral:tRNA from 1 species